UUUGGACAAGAUAUCCACACAGUCCUGUGAGUGGAAAAGGUGGACGUCUCAAUCUCGAUGGAAACUGUACAUUGCCGUGCUGGAGGUUUGUAGAGCAUCAUGGGAAGCAGUAGAGGGUGCACAUGGCUACCCAGUUCAGCAGGCAUCAGCUAUUGAGGGCAGCUUCAGAAGCCAGGCUAACAAGGAGCAGAGUUCACGUCGUCUCCAGAGGGUGGUGCUGCGUAGUGCCAUGUGAUGGAAAUAGCGGGCACUGUGUGCACCACACAGGGCAAACCAGCACUGAGAGAUAGCAGUUCCGCCCAGAAAGAGUGUGACCUUCUGUCUGCCUAAUCUUGACCCAGAUGGCUGCACCCAGACACAGUGGCACAGUGGAGCAGGGAUCAGAAGACAACAUUUUCAACCAUCUGUAUGUUAAAGGUUACGAUGCCAGUAUCAUUUACCUAAACCUUAUCGGCUAUUUUGUCUGGCAAUCCAGCCCUUCUGCUAUUCAUAAUCUGUUUUCCACCAAGUAUUUCGUGAUGUGUGCAGGGUGAUGGGCGGGCUUUAAGAUCUAACCAAAGAGGUGAUUGUUUACUACAGGAAGCAAAGGGGGGAGCAAUUCCCCAUCCACAUCAACAUGGCUGCAGUGGAUAGGGUCAUGAACUUCGAAGUUCCUUAGUCUACACAUCACCAAGCACUAAGCAAGGACCCAUCACACUGCGACAGUUGUAAAGAAGGCCCAUCAGCACCUUUUCUCCCUCUUCCCAAAUGGACUGUUCUGGCUGAUCUAGGUAUCUUCCCAGGUUCUGGCCUUUCUAGGGAGUUUUUUCACCGUACUUCAGCACCUGCAUUGCUUGCUGUUUGGGGUUUUAGGCUGGGUUUCUGUACAACACUUUUUUGACAUCAGCUGAUGUAAGAAGGGUUUAUAAAUACAUUUGAUUGAUUGAUUGAUUGAUACCCUAUGGCAAGCUAAACCUGAGCAUCAGGCAUUAACAACAUGCUCCAAGAUAGCUUCUACCUCCAAGCAAUUACACUGGUGAAGAGCUAUUCAGUGGCUAACCACCUACACCCACGACCUAGUAAAUCUCACUGACUCUACCUGGAAUGACUCUAUACACACUCAUAAGACUCUAUCAUCAUAUAGUGCAUUCGGAAAGUAUUGAGACCCCUUCACGUUUUUCACAUUUUGUUACGUUACAGCCUUAUUCUAAAAUUGAAUAAAUGUAAAAUGUUCCUCAUCAA